CUUGAUUUAAGUAACUCGACAAUAUAAUAUUCUAAAUCCUCAUCCUCAGACCUACUCUAAUACUUUUAUUCCUUAGAAAGAUAGGAAAGGGAGAAAAAGAAUGUGAAAGAUGGGAAACCCAUAGUUGAUUUGGUGUCUAAGUAAGGUGGGAGGUGCAUCCUAUUUCCUUUUCUUUGUAAAUCUUCCAUUUCUCAUAUCUUUCUCUUUUUAUUUACCCUUUGUCUUGUCAUCUCUAGGUGUGUGACUAGGGAGAGAGUGGGCAUGAGGCAGGGCUCAAAAGAGGGAGGCA
rnacentral:lncRNA from 1 species